ensembl:snRNA U6 U6 spliceosomal RNA
GUGCUCGCCCCAGCGGCACAUAUACUAAAGUUGCAAUGAUGCAGAGAAGAUUCGCAUGGCCCCUUUGCAGGGAUGACACAUAAAUUCGUGGAGCAUUCCAUAUUUUU